CAGGUUUAGAUUAGAUAGAAGCCAGAUUUAGAUUAGCUAGAACACAAACUGAGAAAGCUUACCAAUUUCAUCUCAGUUUAGUUGACGAAACACAUCAGAACAAAGAUAGAAAGAAAGAGAGAGAAGAGAAGGAGAGAGAAAGAAAU